GACGAACGCUGGAGGCGUGCUCAACACAUGCAAGUCGAACGAUGAAAUGGAGCUUGCUCCAUGGAUUAGUGGCGAACGGGCGAGUAACACGUGAAUAACCUGCCCUUAAUUUUGGAAUAACCCAGGGAAACCUGGGCUAAUACCGGAUAAGUAAACCUGUGGCAUCACAUGGUUUUGGAAAGUUUUUCGAUUAAGGAUGGAUUCGCGGCCUAUCAGCUUGUUGGUGAGGUAAUGGCUCACCAAGGCGACGACGGGUAGCCGGCCUGAGAGGGUGGACGGCCACACUGGGACUGAGACACGGCCCAGACUCCUACGGGAGGCAGCAGUGGGGAAUAUUGCGCAAUGGACGAAAGUCUGACGCAGCGACGCCUCGUGAGGGACGAAGGUCUUCGGAUUGUAAACCUCUUUCAGCAGGGACGAAGCGAAAGUGACGGUACCUGCAGAAGAAGCACCGGCUAACUAUGUGCCAGCCGCCGCGGUAA
rnacentral:rRNA from 1 species